UCUGGUGUGCAGACAGCAGAGUGGGGAAGAUCUCCAUGAAUGCCCACAUACCAGAUCUCUCCUGGACCUCUUACAGACCAUCUCCAAACUCUUCACUGCCUUGGAUGCCUCCUCAGGAGCUGUGACAGUGGUUGUACUGUUACUGUGUUCACUGAGCUGCUUGUGGUCUCCAUGCCGUGGGCUGAGCUCCUCUCAAGUCACUUCUCUUGAAGUGGUGCUCUUUGAUCUUGGCAUCAUCUGAGCACUCAGUGUUUGAGGUGCUCUUGGCACAGGUAGGUCUUAGUCUACUCAUGCAACUUCAUUCAACACAAGCAGCUAAAAUGGAGCUGUGAAGUCCAGCUAGUAACACAAGAAUGGCCUGGAGCAGAUGAGUGUCUGAAGGAACACUGGAGACUUGGAAAAAGAUGAGCCAAGGCUGACCUCUCAGCUGAGAUCUCUGAAAGCAGGCUCCUCCAUCAUAUCUACAGGUGGGAUAGAGUCAAAGGAUGCCAUGCAGUGAGCUGGGAAACCUAUGGCCACGACAUCAACCCCUCAGUGAGAUCAGAUGCGGGCAAUAAUCUGUAUGUCAAGGGCAUCAUGCAGCCAAGAUCUCAUCCAUAUGGGCAUGCCAACCCAUGCUUGGAUCUGGGCCUUCUUCCAAAUAGAUUUGGGGCAAGAUUCAAAUUCCUCAUGCCAGUGCUUCAGCUUGCCUGGGAAUGGGAAACAAGGACAACCUGGGACAAAAUAUGAUUGUCUUGGAGGUGUGUGUGAAGCCAGCCUGCUGGUCUGCUUGUUGAGAAAAUGAUGGAACAGACUCUGAAACUAGAACACCCUCCCUUCUGGGGCUGCCUUCCCUUCUGGGUGCUGCUUUCCCUUCCUGGAGCUGGAGCCUUUCUCCUGCUUACCCAGGCUGUGAGCACCUUGUCCCCACACUUCCCCAUAAGUCACAUCUCUCAACUCUAUGCUAAAUGAGGGCCUGCCUCCCACAAGUGAUGGAGGAGCUGAGGGAGCACCUCAAGAGCAAGCACCU